ensembl:lncRNA
GGGCUAUGGGAUGUGUGGGGUUCCCUAUGGGGUUUCCUGUGGAGUCUGUGGGGUUCCCUAUGGGGUUUCCUAUGGGGUAAUGGGGUCUAUGGGGUUUCCUAUGGGGUCUGUGGGGUUCCCUAUGGGGUUUCCUAUGGGGUAAUGGGGUCUAUGGGGUUUCCUAUGGGGUCUGUGGGGUUCCCUAUGGGGUGUCCUUUGGGGUAAUGGGGGUUAUGGGAUGUGUGGGGUUCCCUAUGGGGUUUCCUAUGGGGUAAUGGGGGCUAUGGGGUUUCCUAUGGGGUCUGUGGGGUUCCCUAUGGGGUUUCCUAUGGGGUCGGUGGGGUUCCCUAUGGGCUUUACUGUGGAGUAAUGGGAUCUAUGGGGUUUGCUAUGAGGUCUGUGGGGUUCCCUAUAGGGUGUCCUUUGGGGUAAUGGGAUCUAUGGGGUUUCCUUUGGGGUAAUGGAGGCUAUGGGGUUUCCUAUGGGGUCUGUGGGGUUCCCUACAGGGUUUGCUAUGGGGUCUGUGGGGAUUCCUAUGGGGUUCCCUAUGGGGUUAUGGGAUCUAUGGGGUUUGCUGUGGGGUCUGUGAGAUUCCCUAUGGGGUUUCCUGUGGGGUAAUGGGGUCUAUGGGGUUUCCUAUGGGGUCCGUGGGGUUCCCUAUGGGGUUCCCUAUGGGGUUAUGGGAUCUAUGGAGUUUGCUGUGGGGUCUGUGGGAUUCCCUAUGGGUAAUGGGAUCUAUGGGGUUUCCUAUGGGGUCUGUGGGGUUCCUUAUGGGGUUUCCUAUGGGUUAAUGGGGUCUAUGGGGUUUGCUAUGGGGUCUGUGGGGUUCCCUAUGGGGUUUCCUAUGGGGUAAUGGGGGCUAUGGGAUGUGUGGGGUUCCCUAUGGGGUUUCCUGUGGGGUCUGUGGGGUUCCCUAUGGGGUAUCCUAUGGGGUAAUGGGGUCUAUGGGGUUUCCUAUGGGGUCUGUGGGGUUCCCUAUGGGGUUUCCUAUGGGUUAAUGGGGUCUAUGGGGUUUCCUAUGGGGUCUGUGGGGUUCCCUAUGGGGUUUCCUGUGGGGUAAUGGGAGCUAUGGGGUUUCCUAUGGGUUAAUGGGGUCUAUGGGGUUUCCUAUGGGGUCUGUGGGGUUCCCUAUGGGGUUUCCUGUGGGGUAAUGGGAGCUAUGGGGUUUCCUAUGGGGUCUGUGGGGUUCCCUAUGGGGUUUCCUGUGGGGUAAUGGGAGCUAUGGGGUUUCCUAUGGGGUCUGUGGAGUUCCCUAUGGGGUUUGCUAUGGGGUAAUGGAGUCUAUGGGGUUUGCUAUGGGGCCUGUGGGAUUCCCUAUGGGGUUUCCUGUGGGGUAAUGGGAUCUAUGGGGUUUCCUAUGGGGUCUGUGGGGUUCCCUAUGGGGUAAUGGGGGCUAUGGGAUGUGUGGGGUUCCCUAUGGAGUUUCCUAUGGGGUUAUGGGAUCUAUGGGGUUUCCUAUGGGGUCUGUGGGGUUCCCUACAGGGUUUGCUAUGGGGUCUGUGGGGUUUCCUAUGGGGUUCCCUAUGGGGUUAUGGGAUCUAUGGGGUUUGCUGUGGGGUCUGUGAGAUUCCCUAUGGGGUUUCCUGUGGGGUAAUGGGGUCUAUGGGGUUUCCAAUGGGGUCUGUGGGGUUCCCUAUGGGGUUCCCUAUGGGGUUAUGGGAUCUAUGGGGUUUGCUGUGGGGUCUGUGGGAUUCCCUAUGGGGUUUCCUGUGGGGUAUUGGGAUCUAUGGGGUUUGCUAUGGGGUCUGUGGGGUUCCCUAUGGGGUAUCCUAUGGGGUAAUGGGGUCUAUGGGGUUUGCUAUGGGGUCUGUGGGGUUCCCUAUGGGGUUUCCUAUGGGGUAAUGGGGGCUAUGGGAUGUGUGGGGUUCCCUAUGGGGUUUCCUGUGGGGUCUGUGGGGUUCCCUAUGGGGUAUCCUAUGGGGUAAUGGCAGCUAUGGGGUUUCCUAUGGGGUCUGUGGGGUUCCCUAUGGGGUUUCCUAUGGGGUAAUGGGAUCUAUGGGCUUUGCUGUGGGGUUCCCUAUGGGGUUUCGUAUGGGGUAAUGGCAGCUAUGGAGUUUCCUAUGGGGUCUGUGGGGUUUCUUAUGGGGUUUCCUGUGGGGUAAUGGGAUCUAUGGGGUUUGCUGUGGGGUUCCCUAUGGGGUUUUGUAUGGGGUAAUGGCGGCUAUGGGGUUUCCUAUGGGGUCUGUGGGGUUCCCUACAGGGUUUCUUAUGGGGUAAUGGGGGCUGUGGGGUUUCCUAUGGGGUCUGUGGGGUUCCCUAUGGGGUGUCCUAUGGGUUAAUGGGAUCUAUGGGGUUUCCUUUGGGGUCUGUGGGGUUCCCUAUAGGGUUUCUUAUGGGGUUUACAAUGAAUCCUAUGGGGUUUUUCAAUGGAUCUAUGGGGUUUCCGCGGGGGUCUGCGGCGCACCCAAUGGGGACCCCCAAAAAUCCCAUUAUUACGUUCCCCAAAUCCCACUUUUCCCCCCAAAUACCCCCAUAGGAUCCCCAAAACCCACUUUUUCCACCCCAAACCCCAUUCUAUUUCCCUAUUGGGCGCUUUCCCACCCCCAAAACCCCAUAUUCCCACCCUAAGACCCCCAUAUCCCCCCCAAACCCCCAUUUCCCACCCUAAGACCCCCAUAUUUCCACCCUAAGACCCCCAUAUCCCCCCCCACACCCCCAUUUCCCCCCUCACACCCCCAUAUCCCACCUUACGACCCCCAUUUCCCCCCCCACACCCCCAUAUUACCACCCUAAGACCCCCAUAUCCCCCCCCAAAACCCCCAUAUCCCCCCCACACCCCCAUUUCCCACCCCCCAAACCCC